UGGGGAAUAUUGCACAAUGGGCGAAAGCCUGAUGCAGCAACGCCGCGUGAGUGAUGAAGGCCUUCGGGUUGUAAAGCUCUGUCUUUUGGGACGAUAAUGACGGUACCAAAGGAGGAAGCCACGGCUAACUACGUGCCAGCAGCCGCGGUAAUACGUAGGUGGCAAGCGUUGUCCGGAUUUACUGGGCGUAAAGGAUGCGUAGGCGGAUUUUUAAGUGAGAUGUGAAAUACCCGGGCUUAACUUGGGUGCUGCAUUUCAAACUGGGAAUCUAGAGUGCGGGAGAGGAGAAUGGAAUUCCUAGUGUAGCGGUGAAAAUGCGUAGAGAUUAGGAAGAACACCAGUGGCGAAGGCGAUUCUCUGGACCGUAACUGACGCUGAGGCAUGAAAGCGUGGGUAGCAAACAGGAUUAGAUACCCUGGUAGUCCACGCCGUAAACGAUGAGUACUAGGUGUAGGAGGUAUCGACCCUUCUGUGCCGCAGUUAACACAAUAAGUACUCCGCCUGGGAAGUACGAUCGCAAGAUUAAAAACUC
rnacentral:rRNA from 1 species